GAGGUGCUGCAUGUUGUCGUCAGCUCGUGUCGUGAGAUGUUGGGUUAAGUCCCGCAACGAGCGCAACCCCUGUCCUGUCGUUGCUACUCCGCAAGGAGAGGACUCUCAGGAGACUGCCGUGGAUAACACGGAGGAAGGUGGGAUGACGUCAAAUCAUCAUGGCCUUUAUGUCCAGGGCUACACACGUGAUACAAUGGUACAGACAGAGGGCUGCAAGACCGUAAGGUGGAGCCAAUCCCUAAACUGUAUCCCAGUUCAGAUCGAGGGCUGCAAUUCGCCCUCGUGAAGUUGGAAUCGCUAGUAAUCGCAGAUCAGCAGGCUGCGGUGAAUACGUUCCCGGGCCUU
rnacentral:rRNA from 1 species